rnacentral:lncRNA from 10 species
GGAGGACGUGACAUCUGAAGAUAAAUACCCUGAAUGCCAACCACCUGCCAUCCUGGGCUUCUGGACGUGGCCCACCCUCAGUGUCCCCAUUCCCUCCCACUCCUAAGAAGUUCCUCCUAGAACAUCCGCUGGGCCACCUCCCUGGAAAAUGCUGACCCUGUCUUCAUUACAGCCCGCCCUAGCUCCCUCAAACCACAGUGACCUCAUCUGAACUCAAUUAUGAAAUUCUGACACUUAGACUUUAGCAACUGGCCCUACCACAAGAAAAAGUUUUCAUUCUUUUCUCAAGAUAAAUUUUAAAGCAAAACUAAACCCAAGUUGGUGGGAGCAGAACAGAUCUGUCUGAGAACAAGGGGAGCACCCUGAGGCAGCACAGGGCUGAUGCUUGGUGGCUUCUCUUCUCCUCUCUGCCCUUUGAGAUGGAAUGUGGGGCAGGCAGAAAGCACUACUCUCCAGGUCAGGAGACCUGCACCCUGGCUUGUCCACUAAACUUGUCAGCUGUAUCCAUCUCUACGGGUCCCUGAGGAGGUUUGAUUUGCUUAGGUUUGAGAGAUCGUCUUGCUGCUUUGCCCAGACUGGCCUCAAACUUCUGGGCUCAAGCGAUCCCCUUACUCAGCCUACCGAGUAGCUGCGACUACAGGCAUUCUCCACUGUACCUGACUGAAGUCUAAAAUUUUGAAUCAAGUCUAAGCAGCAUUUACUUAUGAUGGCAGAAUAAAGAUAUUUUCAGACAUAGAAAAUCUUUCCAUCUCCACUUGGUUUACUGCCACCUGAUCUCUCUGCUUCUGGUCUUGUCUCAGUGCAUACUUUCUCCACUUUGCAGCUGGAUGAUCUUUUUGUCAGGCAAAUUGCAUCAUUAACUCCUCAAGGAAUUUAUUUUCCACACUCAGCUCCAGUCAAUCUUUUUUCCCACCAGCUACUUCUAGUUACACGUGAGCCCUUCCUCCUCCACCCUUUCUCUCAGGGUUAUGGUCUCUGAGUCCCUAGAAUGUACCAUAGUCCAUUCUGAUUCCCUCUGCAAAAGAUUCUCUUCUAGCUCAUUCUUCAUCUUCCUUCAGGUCUUAGUCUUGACGUUAUUUUCACAGAAAAGUAUUCCACGGACCCCCACUCCCAUUCCCAUCGCUCCAUCAGAUUAGGUUUGACUCCUUUGUUAGUGACCCUAAUAGCACCUGUGCUUUUACUUAUAAUUAAAGUAAUUGUAUUAUACAGCUAUGAUUU